CUUGUAAUAUCAUGCAUGUUUUGGAACCUGCCCAGCCUUAGAAAAAAGUACAAGGCUGCUGGGAGAGGGUAGGAACAGGGUACAAAGGCUCAUUGCUCCUCUGCCCCUUAGGAAGCAACCAGAGCUAUUCAUAUGGUCCAGAGUGAAGAGGAAAGCUAACACAGUGAAACACAUCCAGCCUACACUGCUCUGAAGAAAGGCAUAGAACAAGGAAAUCCCCAUAUUGCACUCCAUCCCUUGACAAGGUUGUAUUUGCAGGGCUAGGUUUGCACCCAGCAAUCUUUUUAGGAAAAAAUGGCAGCGCUGAAAUUACCUCCUCUGGGCAGAGGAAAUUCUGGACUUUGUUUUUCAUUUGAAUGAGGGACAGAAUAUGAAAGCAUUUUGAAUGUACUCAACCUCUACAAAAGUUUGUCCCCACAGCAGAUAGCACUGAAACUCUCUUUGAGAAUGAGUCCAUCCCAUCAUCAAGAGUAACACCAAAGCAUAUUUUAAACAGAGCUGUCACAACAUUGUCCUGGCAAGUGACAUGGACACCAUUUCAUCUGGUCAUAGCACUGCUGUUUUGCUUUACCAAACUUUGCUAGCAACUGCUCAGAAAGGUAAGUAAGGAAGGAGCACUUUUACCCCUCUCUCGGUGUCCCUUAUCUACCUCUUCAUGAACAGUUACUGGGCACCAUGAAAUGCCAGAGACAGACCUUUGUGGAGGGCACAUCAAAAUGAAAUUCUUGUUUUCACCAGCACAUUAGUCCCUGUUUGGCAUUUCUGCGUCCAGCCUUGUCAAUGCCCUGUGGGUAUGACAAAAUUUAUUUCACGCUUUUUUGUUUUGUUUUUGUCUCGGUGCGAACAGAUUGCAACAGCCUCACAUUAGUUUGUUUUCCAGAAACAUUCCCGCCAUCCUCUGAUGAAGAAUCCUUGGCCUGCAGAUCAUUCAGUAGUAAAAACAUUUGCAGUCCACAGUCCUCACCUCAGCCUUUGCUGACUAGUGGCACAUACUGCACAGUACAGCUUCUUCUUCCUUGACAUCUUGCCAUUUGUAAGGUGCCAACAAGGGUACACUGCUGGUAUUCCAGUCAGAUAGGCAACUUGCUCUCCACCUUUCCUCCUUGCUCCCACAAGACAUCUAACACCUAGAGAGAGGAAGGGCUGCAACCUGAGGCAAGCCAGAUAGCUGUUCUGGUACUCCAUGUUCUUCAGCAUAUACUCAAAACCUGAAAAUGGAGUCACUAUCCAAAUCAGGCCAAGGGCAGAAGAGGGAUUUGAAGCUAAUUAUGGCAAACCCUAAAGAUGUCACAGUGGAAUUAAGACCAUGAGGUGGCUGGAAGUCACAGACAUAACUUCUAGACUUGUCCUCUGAGAAGUGCUUAUGUAGCUUCUCCACCACGCAGUAAGGGUGCUGAUAGUGUUGGUCAUUGUUCGAAUAUAUUGGUUCCAUGAAAAGCAAAUAAUGGGAUAGAAGGAGAAAUUAUUGAAUUAAUUUCUCACACUAACAAUCCCAUCAUCAAAUUCCUGGAAAUUUAAAAGACUUAAAAAAACAGCCAUCAGAUACUUUGGGUAACUCUGGGUUCAUCUUCCCUUGAUCCAACUCAAGUGACCUCAUCUGAAGCAAUAAUACCCAAAAAUACAUACAUAGCAGUUUAGAAAGAAAGACUAUCUUGAAAGAGGAUGGUGAGCAUGCCUAAAGGCAGAAACCUGAUGGUAAAAAAUAAUGUUCAUCUCAGUUACCAUGCUAGGCAAGAGAGGUACAGGUCUUCCUGCCUUCAGGACGAGACAGCAGACAGCUCUCCUUCCAGUCCCAGGGAACAUGGGUGUAAGGCUCUCAGGAUCAUGCUGUGCUUCCCUGGAAUACACAGGGUGCCUAAAACAGGUGUUCAUAGCAUGUGGAUAAAUGCCCCACUGCAGCCUGGAGUUAUCAUCCAGUGCGCUCGAUAACCAACACUCCACACUUCCUC